rnacentral:tRNA from 1 species
GGACAUUUAGCUCAGUGGUUAGAGCAACCGGCUCAUAACCGGUCUGUCCUGGGUUCGAACCCCAGAAUGUCCA